AGUGAACGCUGGCGGUAGGCCUAACACAUGCAAGUCGAACGGCAGCACAGUAAGAGCUUGCUCUUACGGGUGGCGAGUGGCGGACGGGUGAGGAAUACAUCGGAAUCUACUUUUUCGUGGGGGAUAACGUAGGGAAACUUACGCUAAUACCGCAUACGACCUACGGGUGAAAGCAGGGGAUCUUCGGACCUUGCGCGAUUGAAUGAGCCGAUGUCGGAUUAGCUAGUUGGCGGGGUAAAGGCCCACCAAGGCGACGAUCCGUAGCUGGUCUGAGAGGAUGAUCAGCCACACUGGAACUGAGACACGGUCCAGGCUCCGACGGGAGGCAGCAGUGGGGAAUAUAGGACAAUGGGCGCAAGCCUGAUCCAGCCAUACCGCGUGGGUGAAGAAGGCCUUCGGGUUGUAAAGCCCUUUUGUUGGGAAAGAAAAGCAGCAGGUUAAUACCCCGCUGUUCCGACGGUACCCAAAGAAUAAGCACCGGCUAACUUCGU
rnacentral:rRNA from 1 species